rnacentral:misc_RNA from 1 species
GUAUUUAUUAUAAAAAUAUUAUAUUUUAGUCCAAAACGUUAUAGACGUGUCGAGACAAAUAAAAUUGGCAGGCCGAGAGACAGUACGUACUCUCUCAACAUAAACCGCAACGGUCUUUGUGUCAACCUGCCAACUAAUGCUUCAAUAAUUCACACAAGGUGGAUAUGGAUAAAUUAUCCAUAGAAUAGGACAAUUUGUUAAUGAUCCUUCCGCAGGUUCACCUACGGAAA